ACCUGCAGAUGGAUCAUUU
rnacentral:rRNA from 1 species